UACGGAGGGUGCGAGCGUUAAUCGGAAUUACUGGGCGUAAAGCGUACGCAGGCGGUUUGUUAAGCGAGAUGUGAAAGCCCCGGGCUCAACCUGGGAACUGCAUUUGACGACGCGAAACUAGAGUGUGAUAGAGGGUGGUAGAAUUUCAGGUGUAGCGGUGAAAUGCGUAGAGAUCUGAAGGAAUACCGAUGGCGAAGGCA
rnacentral:rRNA from 1 species